rnacentral:rRNA from 1 species
UCGAGAAUCUUCGGCAAUGGGCGCAAGCCUGACCGAGCGACGCCGCGUGCGGGAUGAAGGCCUUCGGGUUGUAAACCGCUGUCAGAGGGAAGGAAAUAUAUGAGGGUUAUCCCUCAUGUUUGACCGAUCCUCAGAGGAAGUACGGGCUAAGUUCGUGCCAGCAGCCGCGGUAACACGAACCGUACGAACGUUAUUCGGACUCACUGGGCUUAAAGGGUGCGUAGGCGGCCUGGUAAGUUGAGUGUGAAA